rnacentral:rRNA from 1 species
UACGAAGGGGGCUAGCGUUGUUCGGAAUUACUGGGCGUAAAGCGCGCGCAGGCGGUCUUCCAAGUCAGUGGUGAAAGCCCCGGAGCUCAACUCCGGAACUGCCAUUGAAACUGUGAGACUUGAGUACGAGAGAGGUGAGUGGAAUUCCCAGUGUAGAGGUGAAAUUCGUAGAUAUUGGGAAGAACACCGGUGGCGAAGGCGGCUCACUGGCUCGUAACUGACGCUCAGGCGCGACAGCGUGGGGAUCAAACAGG